rnacentral:lncRNA from 1 species
GUUGUUUGUUCUUUGGUUUCCUAUGUUGUGUUUUGUGUAUUAUUGUUUGUCUGUUGAUCUUUUUCUUUUUUAGCCAUGGAGUUGUCAUUUUAUUUUCGACUUAAAAGUUUGACUGUCCCUCUAGUUGUUUAAUGUUCCUCUAGUAUCUUAAUUUCGUCUCUCUUUUAAAACGACACCAACACCUACACUGACUGAAAAAUAAAAUAACCGUAUCAAAAUGUCGAAAC